GGGCAGUAGGAAACUUUCUGAGACACACCUUUAAAAUUAGUUAUAAUGUGUGCUAUGUUUACAGAUCUUAGUUUUGAAGACCAACAACACAACAAUACUUCCAGAUCUCCAUCUAACCUCUGCUUAUUUGAGAGGGGCUUUGUAUUUUCAACAGGAGAGUUCAAAGUUCAUUUUUUUUCCAGCAACUAUAGUUCUAAGUGAAAUAAUCUAUUGUUAUUGAGACGUGAUAUUUUACAUAUUUAUGGGAUACCCAUGAGUCAUGAUCUAUUUUAAGUAAUACCUUAGUGUUGUAAAAUCAGCAGUACUUUUAAAAAUAAAUGUACGUUGUUAAUUAUCCCACUUGUGUCAUCAGAACUACAGCUUGAACAAGUCCACCUUCCAUGGACCAAGCACCACCCUGCACAUUUCUAGCAUGAGCAAAAUCCAAGGUCCUGGCUGGACUCCAGAGAUGCUGUUUACCUCAGAAGUAUGACAAUAGGAGGCAGAAGAAGCAGGCAAAUCCAACUUCUUUCUUGCAGUUUUCUUGGUUGGGGAGGAAAAGUUGAAUUUUACUAUUAUGGAGAAGAAACAGGAAAUAGAGACAGGCCAAGCACAUCUGCAAAAAAGAUAUUGCUGGAGGAGGUGCAAGAGCUGGAAACCAAGUUUCCUGUCCUGGGAAAAGCAGUGGUGUGGAAGAGCAGUGGAAAGAGACUUUAUACAGAAACUAAGAUUUUUUUGGAAAAUCACUUUCGGCAUUUGCACAAGGUAAGCAAUGAUACAUACAUGAUAUAAAUAUGUUGAUAGUUGUGUGCCUUACUAGUG
rnacentral:lncRNA from 1 species